GCGCUAGUGGCGGAAUUGGUAUACGCAAAAGAUUACCACUCUUUGGGUCGAGAGACCUUGCGGGUUCGAGUCCCGCCUAGCGCACCA
rnacentral:tRNA from 1 species